rnacentral:rRNA from 1 species
AGAGUUUGAUCCUGGCUCAGGAUGAACGCUAGCUACAGGCUUAACACAUGCAAGUCGAGGGGAAACGAUAUUGGAAGCUUGCUUCCGAUAGGCGUCGACCGGCGUACGGGUGAGUAACGCGUAUCCAACCUGCCCACCACUUGGGGAUAACCUUGCGAAAGUAAGACUAAUACCCAAUGACGUCUCUAGAAGACAUCUGAAAGAGAUUAAAGAUUUAUCGGUGAUGGAUGGGGAUGCGUCUGAUUAGCUUGUUGGCGGGGUAACGGCCCACCAAGGCGACGAUCAGGUAGGGUUCUGAGACGGAACGGCCCCCACAUUGGAACUGAGACACGGUCCAAACUCAUACGGGAGGCAGCA